GACGAACGCUGGCGGCGUGCUUAACACAUGCAAGUCGAACGGAAAGGCCCUGCUUUUGUGGUGUGCUCGAGUGGCGAACGGGUGAGUAACACGUGAGUAACCUGCCCUUGUCUUUGGGAUAACUUCAGGAAACUGGGGCUAAUACCGGAUAGGAGCUCCUGCUGCAUGGUGGGGGUUGGAAAGUUUCGGCGGUUGGGGAUGGACUCGCGGCUUAUCAGCUUGCUGGUGGGGUAGUGGUUUACCAAGGCUUUGACGGGUAGCCGGCCUGAGAGGGUGACCGGCCACCUGGGGACUGCGAUACGGCCCAGACUCCUACGGGAGGCAGCAGUGGGGAAUAUUACACAAUGGGCGGACGCCUGAUGCAGCAACGCCGCGUUCGGGAUGACGGCCUGCGGGUUGUAAACCGCUUUCGCCUGUGACGAAGCGUGAGUGACGGUAAUGGGUAAAGAAGCACCGGCUAACUACGUG
rnacentral:rRNA from 1 species